CUGGGAACCAAACCUCCAUCAUUGGGUGCGUGGAAGACAUUUUCUACUGUGUUAUUAAUUCCAAAUGAAGUCAUGCUACAAGUCGUCUCAGAGGUGGUGAACAGUCAGAGAACGCACAGAUGAAAGCCAUAAAGGCCUGGAUGAACAAGCUUUUCAACAACUUCAGGAUGGAAAACAGGGUUUUUCUUCUUUUGUGGCUCCAUAUUCAAAGGUUCUCCUCACAAGAUUUCUGACAGCGGAGUGCAAAGAAUAAUCAGAAGAGUUUUCAAAGAGCUAAGGACUACCUGUGAAGAGCUUCAAAAAGAGCUGGAAUUUGCAAGUACUAUUGUCACAAGG